UCUAACGGCCAUACCACCCUGAACACGCCCGAUCUCGUCUGAUCUCGGAAGCUAAGCAGGGUCGGGCCUGGUUAGUACUUGGAUGGAAGAGUCACACAUGCUCUAGUGACUGAGCCAGCCAGGCACCACUUUUU
rnacentral:rRNA from 1 species